rnacentral:ncRNA from 1 species
AUAAAGUUUUAUUUUAGCUUAAAGAUUUAUUAUUAGUUUAAUUUAUAUGUAAAUUUUUGUAUGAAUUUUUAUUUAUUUUAAUAAUAAAUAAUAUUAAUUUAUUCGCAAUAAUUGGUAUUAUUAAUUAAAGAAAUUUAGAAAUAGUAAUAUUAAAGAGUAUUGACUAAAUUUGUGCCAGCAGUCGCGGUUAUACAAAUAAUACAAAUAAUUUUUUUUAGUUAAAGUUAAAUUGUUAUAUUAAAAUUAAUAAAAAUUUAUUAGGUGAAAUUUUAAAUUAAUUAAUAUUUUUAAUAAUUAUAAUUGAUACUUGAAAAUUUUAAUUAAAAACUAGGAUUAGAUACCCUAUUAUAUAAAAUGUAAAUUUUAAAAACUUAGGUAGUAAUAGUUAUGUUCUUGAAACUUAAAAAAUUUGGCGGUAUUUUAGUCUAUUCAGAGGAACCUGUUUUAUAAUCGAUAAUCCACGAUGGACCUUACUUAUAUUUGUAAUCAGUUUAUAUAUCGUCGUUAUUAGAAUAUUUUAUAAGAAAGUUAAUUUUCAAAGUUUUAUAAAAGAAAAUAUAUCAGAUCAAGGUGUAGCUUAUAUUUAAGUAAAAAUGGGUUACAAUAAAAUUAUUUAUAUGAAUAUAAAUUUGAAAUAUUUAUUGAAAGUGGAUUUGAUAGUAAAAUUAUAAAGAUUAAUAAUUUGAUUUUAGCUCUAAAAUAUGUACACAUCGCCCGUCACUCUUAUUAUUAAGGUAAGAUAAGUCGUAACAUAGUAGAUGUACUGGAAAGUGUAUCUAGAAUGCA